ACAGGGCCAUCGUGGCAACAGCAUGAAGGAAAUAUAGCCCAGACUCUCCAUCAACGUUGAUGUUUGAAUUAUGGAAGGAGGUUGACCAGGGCUGGGAGCCAAGCAACGUGAAUGGGAGAGACUCGUGCUCUGAGGGAUGCUGCCUACAAAACAGAGACUCAAAUGUACUUAAAAGACCACAUGGAGCUAAACCUUUGCAGUUGCUCAUGGAACUUAUGCUUGUUGCCAAAAUUCAUCGUCCUUGAAGCUGAAUUCUGCUGAACACCUCUUUUAAAGACUAAUCAAUAAAUCCCAGAGGAUGCUACCACCCUGUUUCUUAGACCUAUGCUCUAGAAGACAAGCAGG